AUUUUUAAAAUAUUUUUAGAUGACUGAGUAUUAGGUGUUAGAUUUUUAAUCUAAAGACGGCAAAUGUGUGCCUCUAAGAAAUAAAUUGU
rnacentral:tRNA from 1 species